rnacentral:rRNA from 1 species
CCUACGGGAGGCAGCAGUGGGGAAUAUUGGGCAAUGGGCGCAAGCCUGACCCAGCAACGCCGCGUGAAGGAAGAAGGCUUUCGGGUUGUAAACUUCUUGUAAGAGGGAAGAGAAGAAGACGGUACCUCUUGAAUAAGCCACGGCUAACCACGUGCCAGCAGCCGCGGUAAUACGUAGGUGGCAAGCGUUGUCCGGAUUUACUGGGGGUAAAGGGCGUGCAGCCGGGAAGACAAGUCAGAUGUGAAAUCCCGCGGCUAAACCGCGGAACUGCAUUUGAAACUGUUUUUCUUGAGUACCGGAGAGGUCAUCGGAAUUCCUUGUGUAGCGGUGAAAUGCGUAGAUAUAAGGAAGAACACCAGUGGCGAAGGCGGAUGACUGGACGGCAACUGACGGUGAGGCGCGAAAGCGUGGGGAGCAAACAGGAUUAGAUACCCUAGUAGUC